rnacentral:lncRNA from 1 species
CAUAGCUCUGCUUCGCCAGCAUCGGCUGAUGACAUCACUGACACCCAAACCAGAGCAAGGAACUGCUGAAUGCACCAGCUGCUAACAUCAUCAGCGGCGGGGAACCUGUGACUCCUGCUGUCUUCAUUUCUUGAUAAAAGCCCAAAGUCAAUUCAGAAGAAAUGUUGCUAAAGAGUGUGAACAGAGUUUUGUUUUAUGAAAAUCAUACCAGAACUUGAUGAAAAGAGAAUUUUCCUGGAAAGGUUGCUGAGGCAGCAAAAUAUUAAGCAUGUGCAUAUGACUAAUGACACUGAAGGACCAACAUCAGUACGUUGUUGAGUGAUAAGCAGGAGUGGAAUGUCUGAGAAAGCUUGGCCUCUCUUUCUUUGAAGAUGACAACCCUAGAGCUAAUUUUAAACAACAGUAGUGAAGGUGUUCUCACCCAGUCUAGCUAGUUAUCUUCACCAGGAGACAUGCAGGUAUUAAAGCACGUAAGCUACCCUUAGAUCAGGCAUAUAUGCAGAAAUCUGCUUCAGUAUAAAUAAGAACCAAUUUUAUGGCUACAUUUCAUUUUCAGGGAAAUCAGGACAUGUAGAUUUGUUGUAACACUUGGUGCACAGGAGCUGAAGAAGCCCAGAGCAGGUACCAGCUGUUCCCGCUGUAUGAACGCUGAACAGCCCUUCCUGAAAUGAUUAUGCCUAAAAAUGAAAUUAAACACAUUUGAUAAAGGAGAAAAGAUAGGAA